UGAACCUUCCUGCGUGCUACCCAAGGAGUGUCUAGGGCUACCAGGAGGCCCAGGGAGGAACCUUGAGACCUGACUGGGAAAGGCUUUUCUUCCCCGAGAGGACCACUGCUCAGGCUCAGAGGCCAUGGGGUGAAGUGCACACAAAAGUGGGCAUCCAGCCAUGCUCUAAGCCCCCCGAAGAUGAAGACCAGGGAGCAGCUUCCUCCAAUGAAGCAGCAGCAAUCAGAGGACCAGGAGGCUGAAGCCCUGAGCCCAGCCAGAGGCAGGAUCAGCCAAGUCUGGGACAGGCUUCAAUUAUUUUAGGGAGGGCGGGGGUGUGGCAGCAGAGAGAAGCGGCAGGUAAUUUAUUCAGGAGCUGGAAGCUGAGAAACGGAUUUGAUGGAGUCUUGCUCCGUUGUCCAGGCUGGAGUGCAAUGGCGCGAUCUCACCUCACUGCAACCUCCACCUCCCGGGUUCAAGCAAUUCUCCUGCCUCAGCCUCCUGAGUAG
rnacentral:lncRNA from 1 species